AUUGAACGCUGGCGGCAGGCCUAACACAUGCAAGUCGAGCGCGAAAGGCUUUCGGGCUGAGUAGAGCGGCGGACGGGUGAGUAACGCGUAGGAAUCUACCUGGUAGUGGGGGACAACUUGGGGAAACUCAAGCUAAUACCGCAUACGCCCUAUGGGGGAAAGCGGGGGACCUUCGGGCCUCGCGCUAUCAGAUGAGCCUGCGUAGGAUUAGCUAGUUGGUGAGGUAAAGGCUCACCAAGGCGACGAUCCUUAGCUGGUCUGAGAGGAUGAUCAGCCACACUGGGACUGAGACACGGCCCAGACUCCUGCGGGAGGCAGCAGUGGGGAAUAUUGCGCAAUGGGGGCAACCCUGACGCAGCCAUGCCGCGUGUGUGAAGAAGGCCUUCGGGUUGUAAAGCACUUUAAGUGGGGAGAAAAGGGUAGCGGUUAAUAGCCGUUACCUGUGAUGUUACCCACAGAAUAAGCACCGGCUAACUCCGUGCCAGCAGCCGCAGUAAAAC
rnacentral:rRNA from 1 species